CAGCCGCCGCGGUAAUACCGGCGGCCCGAGUGGCGGUCACUAUUAUUGGGCUUAAAGCGUCCGUAGCCGGGUUGGGAAGUCCUCCGGGAAAUCUGGCCGCUUAACGGUCAGAAUGCCGGAGGAUACUCCCAGCCUAGGGAGCGGGAGAGGCCGAGGGUAUUCCCGGAGGAGGGGUGAAAUCCUAUAAUCCCGGGAGGACCACCUGUGGCGAAGGCGCUCGGCUGGAACGCGUCCGACGGUGAGGGACGAAGGCCAGGGGAGCAAACCGGAUUAGAUACCCGGGUAGUCCUGGCGGUAAACGAUGCGGACUUUGUGUCGGACAAGCUAUGAGCUUGUCCGGUGCCGGAGGGAAACCGUUAAGUCCGCCGCCUGGGGAGUACGGCCGCAAGGCUGAAACUUAAAGGAAUUGGCGGG
rnacentral:rRNA from 1 species